rnacentral:tRNA from 1 species
GUGAAUGUAGCUCAGUUGGUUAGAGCACCAGAUUGUGAUUCUGGGGGUCGCGGGUUCGAACCCCGUCUUUCACCCCA